GUUAGUAGUUAGAGAGAUCAGUAUUGUGUUUUGAAUUUUGUUUUUACAUGAGAGAGCACUAAGUUUACCUUUCGGAGAGCUGCAGGCAUACAACAAUGAUAAAGGACAUUCCUACUUGGUCUUGUGUCAAAGUUAUGCAGAAUUGAAGGAAGAAACCUCAAAGGCAGUGCCAGAUGGAUGCUGGACAGGGUUUUAAAAAAAAUAAUUCAACAUGAAAGGGGGUGGUCCGCUGCAGAAAGAGGCAUUUGAAAAGACUGCACUGUUCUUGAUCAUUAGAGAUGCUGUGAUGACCAACUUCCCAAAAGGACUUGAGAAAUGCAGUUGGGAUGCAUUUAAAACAAAAAAAUAAAACUUUAAUUAUAAUAAUUAUUCAUUAUUAUUAAUA